GGGGCCUGGGCAUGUAGAUUACCCAGUUCUGACUGGUAGAAGUGGCAAGUUCCAUUCUGUUUUUAUUUUUUUUAACUUAUUUUUUGUAUCUUGAACAGUUCUUACUUGAUGUAUACAUUUUGUUAAGCACUGCAGUAGAAGCCUUCAUAUACUUAAAUCCAGCCAUCUUGAGAGGUUUUUUCAGCAGAAUUUUUGUGCGUUUUGGGGAGCUUUUACGUGUUUUGGGGAGUUAAGGCCAAGAAGCUGAAUGGCUUCUUUUAUUCUCACCAGAAAGUCAAUUCAAACUGCAAUCACACUAUAAAGUAUUUUUUUCAUAUGAUAGCUUAAAGUUUUAUAAAAAUGAGAAUAGAAUCCAUAUCUUUGCAGUACUUCAUGCGUCAGGCUCACAGUUUCAUGUUCCAUAUAGAAUAUUUCCAGUACUGUUUCCUCUGUCUUGUCCCAGGUUACAACCCUUUGUCUGGUGAAGGAGGUGGAGCCUGCUCCUGGAGACCUGGACGCAGAGGCCCGUCAUCUGGUGGAUGAGGCUAAGAAUCUUGUUAGUGUCACUUUUGACAUUAACAAGAUGAAUCCUUAACCCUCAAUUCAAUUGCCUUACACGCACACUUUUCACAGUGACUAGCCAAGGGGAGGUGGGGUUUAUUUCUGUUCCUAACUACACGUGCAUCUUUAAGGGUUGAAGUCAGCAUAGGGUAUAGACAUUUGCACUAGGCAGUAGUGGCAGUUGGUCACACUCUGUUAAAGCCAGUGACUGCAUUCAUUGAUUUCAUGGGUAAGUGCUAGUUCGUAGGUAAAGGCCCCCGAGUGAUUGGCGAUCUUGAUAAGAGAGACCUAGUAAUGCUUCUUCAAGUUAGAAGUCCUUGCUGGUAGGACAGUCUCUGUGACAGGUUGCGUUGAAUGAUGUCUUCCUUGUAAAUGGUGAGCCCACCAGCGAGGAUUACUGAUGCAGACAGUUGAUGGGUUGUUUCUGUAUAUUUAUUUUUAUGUACAGAACUUUGUAAAAGAACUAUAAAUAUUAAAAAAAAAAUUGCAAAGAA
rnacentral:lncRNA from 1 species